CAGUCCACGUGAUUCCAUGUGUGUAAAAUGGUGUCUAACUCAUUGUGUCAAGAAAACUUUUAUACCCCAAUAGUCUCGCCGGGCCAGCCCCUUCAAUACCCCAACUAGUCUGUCUAGUCAUGAUGAUGACACUAUUGUCCCUAUUGUGUUUUGGGGCCAUCAUCCUCCAGUACACGAUAUUACCUGUAUGACCAGGACAGACGAGGAUAAAGGAGGAGCUACUGGUACUAAAACGGGGCAAAUUUGUAUCUUAAACUUAUAGAGGAAGGGAAUUAACGGAGAGUUUGUGUUAUGUCCGAGACUAUUAUUACUAGGAAUGUAGUCUGGAGACAGGGACAGGAUUGUCAGUCUUAGUAAAAAUGGGUUCAUAACAUUGCAGGAUGGUAACGAUGGGACGUGUCUUAAGACUGUUAAUAAUCUUGGAAAUGGAAUGCAUUAUGGAAUA